rnacentral:rRNA from 1 species
UACGUAGGGUGCAAGCGUUAAUCGGAAUUACUGGGCGUAAAGCGUGCGCAGGCGGUUUGUAAGUCAGAUGUGAAAUCCCCGGGCUUAACCUGGGAACUGCGUUUGAAACUACAAGGCUAGAGUGUGGCAGAGGGGGGUGGAAUUCCACGUGUAGCAGUGAAAUGCGUAGAGAUGUGGAGGAACACCGAUGGCGAAGGCAGCCCCCUGGGUUAACACUGACGCUCAGGCACGAAAGCGUGGGGAGCAAACAGG